CUAUGUAUUAGAAAGCCAUCCUGAGGUACAUGGAAGGAAAUCAUGAUCUAUCUGGCCCCAAGGGAUGAUGGAAAAAGAGAUAAAUGGAAAUAGAUGCUGUGAGCAGUUUCUGCUCUGAACUGUAAACAUCAAUUCGGACUUUUUGGCAGAUGGCGUGGCUCUAUUUUGUUGGUAUUUGGAACUGAGGUCAUAAUUAAGAGGAGUGCUUGGGGCAUUUGUAUUGUGCCACUAAAGGUGGAAUUCUUGGACCGCUGCAAGACAGACCAGAAAGAAAGCAUUUGCCUUCUUUCAAGAGAAAUUUGGAUGUUGGAAGAUGAUCACAUACCAUCACAGUUCCAACCACAAACAAUGCCCACUGGAGAUGCAGUGGUGUUAUUCCCAUGACCUUCUUGGGUAGCUUCCUGGAAACCUAAGUGUUUGGGUUUAGGGGAGUAUGGUUGCAAAGCUGAAACUUAAAGGAAUUGAUGGAAGGGCACCACUAGGAGUGGAGCCUGCAGCUUAAUUUGACUCAACAUGGGAGACCUCACCUGGACCAGACACGGACAGAAAUGACAGAGUGAUACUUUCUUGAAUCCAUGGGUGGUGGUGCAUGGCUGUUCUUAUUUGGUGGAGCGAUUUGUCUGGUUAAUUCCAAUAAGGAACGAAAUGCUAGCAUGCUAACUAGUUAUCGACCUCUGAUCGGUCAGCAUCGCCCAACUUCUUAUAGGGACAAGUGGCAUUCAGCCACCUGAGAUUGAGCAAUAACAGGUCUGUGAUGCCCUUAGAUUUCCGAGGCUGCAUGCACACUACACUGACUGGCUCAGCCUGUGCCUACUCUAUGCCAGCAGGAGUGAGUAACCUGUUGAACCCCAUUCGUGUUGGGGAUCGGGCAUUGCAAUUAUUCCCCAUGAAUGAGGAAUUCCCAGUAAGUGCAGGUCAUAAGCUUGCAUUGAUUAAGUCCCUGCCCUUUGUACAGACAGCCCCUCUCUACUGCCAAUUGGAUGGUUUAGUGAGGCAAGACAGACCAGAGGGAAAACAUUUGCCAAGAAUGUUUUCAUUAAUCAAGA
rnacentral:ncRNA from 1 species